GAGGCAGCAAAAGCCAUGCUGAGGCAAAUCAUGAAAAUGGAUGCUUCUUCCAGGAUGGAAUCUUAUAACAAUGGUCUUGAAGAUUUCCUAGCUGGCGGUGGCUCACCAUCAUCCAGCGGAAUGGAGAGUGGGAGCCCUUCAAGCCGUAUAUCAGGAGUGACUCUUCAAGAGGUCCCACCAACUACAGGGCAUUCAACCUAUGUACCACCAGUCUCAGGGUUAUCAGGGCAUGACCCUGCAGAUUCUGUAUCAGAAAUAAAAUCCACUCCAUGCAUUCCUAGUUCUGAAAAGAUAACAGCACAGUUUCCAGAUAUAAGUGUUCUGGUUGGAUCACAAGAGGCACCCACUAUUUCUAUUCCUCAGUCAGAUGUAGUUAUGCCUACACUUUCUCAGAUACCAGAAAUGGUGCCAGAAGGUAUUGUUGAUAUUCCUGGCGAAGUUUAUAUGGAGCCUGAGGCUGUCAAUGAUGGAUUUAUGGAUCUCACUCCAAUAGGAAUUGGAAAUGUUUCCCCAGAUCCUGAUAUUGAUAUAUUGCUUGAAAAUUCUAGCUUCUGGGAUGAACUUGUGCAAAGCCCAGUACCUGAGGAUAUUGAAUCAAGCUCCAUGGAUGGUCAAACAAAUGAAAAUGAUGUGCAGUCAAUGGACAAUGGGUGGGACAAAACUCAGCACGUGGAUCAGCUUACGGAGCAGAUGGGACUUCUCACGUCAGAUGCUAAAAUGCUUUGAUCUUGUUUACAGAAUGUACACUUCUUGCACUCUGCCCUAGUUAAUAAACAACUAAACGAUAGAAGGCGAGUGGCUGCAGCCUAGAAGAACCCUAACCUAUUGGAUGUGGUUGACGAAUGCAUUGGUCCAUCGUAUGCUCGAACGUGUUUCUGCAGAAUGCUGUUACAACCACUGUAUGUUUGUGCAGUCAAUUCUGGUUUUCCAGAC
rnacentral:misc_RNA from 1 species